UCCCAUAAGAGAAAGUGCGUGACAGAGACAUAGCACCGAGAUGGCAUGUUUUUCUUGCAUGAUUACACUGAAAAGGAAUUUGGUGGUAAAUUACAUGAGAAGUAGUACUUUUCAAGUCACUAUGCUCCAAGCAACCCUUCCUUGUUUAAACUUGCCUCUUCCAAACUAAGAGCCAAAAUUGUAGCACAUCAACCAAAUGGGAUGGCUUCAAUCCUUCCUCUGCCCACUGAAGAAGCUCUGGGAUAGGCUUCACUCAAGCCAUAAAAAGCGCAGAGGAAUAUACAUCUUAUAUAAGGAUGUGAAGUCCUGCCCUUGUGAUGAUGUGCAUGUCCUUUGGUCAAUAUUGGUAGAGUCAGGCGCGGCCCCUGCUUCUCUUCCAUCAAAAUAAUUGAGCUUUAACUUACCUUAUAGCCAAGCGUGUUUAUUUGGAAAUUCAGUAGGUUUUCAUGUUUGAAGAAGACGUGAUUCUGCAAGAAGCUACUUCGAGUUGCUCUUGUGUGGUGGAAUGAUUGUGCAAGGUUUAUAUGUGGAUGAGGAUCCAAACAUGUAACAAGUAUAUAGAGAUGAAAAAUAUUGACUUAGUUUCUCUUCAAAUACUAAUAAAUAUGUACAGCUAGCAUAUUAUGUGUU